UACGUAGGGUCCGAGCGUUGUCCGGAUUUAUUGGGCGUAAAGAGCGUGUAGGCGGCUUGGUAGGUCUCGCGUCAAAACCUGCGGCUCAACCGCAGUUCGCGUGGGAAACCACCUGGCUAGAGUCCGGAAGAGGAGAACGGAAUUCCCAGUGUAGCGGUGAAAUGCGCAGAUAUUGGGAAGAACACCAGUGGCGAAGGCGGUUCUCUGGGACGGUACUGACGCUGAGACGCGAAAGCGUGGGGAGCGAACGAGG
rnacentral:rRNA from 1 species